UGCCUACGGGAGGCAGCAGUGGGGAAUAUUGCACAAUGGGGGGAACCCUGAUGCAGCGACGCCGCGUGAGUGAAGAAGUAUUUCGGUAUGUAAGGCUCUAUCAGCAGGGAAGAAGAUGACGGUACCUGACUAAGAAGCCCCGGCUAACUACGUGCCAGCAGCCGCGGUAAUACGUAGGGGGCAAGCGUUAUCCGGAUUUACUGGGUGUAAAGGGAGCGUAGACGGCAGGGCAAGUCUGGAGUGAACGCCCGGGGCCCAAC
rnacentral:rRNA from 1 species